rnacentral:rRNA from 1 species
UGCUUGGGAAUAUGCCUUUGAGUGGGGGACAACAGUUGGAAACGACUGCUAAUACCGCAUAACGUCUACGGACCAAAGAGGGGGAUCUUCGGACCUCUCGCUCAUUGAUUAGCCCAAGUGAGAUUAGCUAGUUGGUAAGGUAAUGGCUUACCAAGGCGACGAUCUCUAGCUGGUUUGAGAGGAUGAUCAGCCACACUGGGACUGAGACACGGCCCAGACUCCUACGGGAGGCAGCAGUGAGGAAUAUUGGGCAAUGGAGGCAACUCUGACCCAGCCAUGCCGCGUGCAGGAAGACGGUCC